GACGAACGCUGGCGGCGUGCUUAACACAUGCAAGUCGAGCGGAAAGGCCCUGAUUCUGUUCGGUGCUCGAUUGGCGCGGGGGGGAGUAACACGUGUGUAACCUGUCCUUGUCUUUGGGAGAACUUCAGGAAACUGGGGCUAAUACCGGAUAUAAGCUCUUGCUGCGUGUUGGGGAUUGGAGAGUGUCGGCUGUUGGGGAUGUACUCGCGGCGUAUUCGCUAGUUGGUGGGGUAGUGGCUUACCAAGGCUACGAUGGGUAGCCGGCCUGAGAGGGUGAUCGGCCACACUGGAACUGAGACGCGGUCCAGACUCCUACGGGAGGCAGCAGUAGGGAAUCUUCCGCAAUGGGCGAAAGCCUGACGGAGCAACGCCGCGUGAGUGAUGAAGGUCUUCGGAUCGUAAAACUCUGUUAUUAGGGAAGAACAAAUGUGUAAGUAACUAUGCACGUCUUGACGGUACCUAAUCAGAAAGCCACGGCUAACUACGUG
rnacentral:rRNA from 1 species